UGGGAAGUAUUGCACAAUGGGGAAACCGGUAGCAUGCAGCGACGCCGCGUGAAGGAAGAAGUAUUUCGGUAUGUAAACUUCUAUCAGCAGGGAAGAAAAUGACGGUACCUGACUAAGAAGCCCCGCUACUACGUGCCAGCAGCCGCGGUAAUACGUAGGGGCAAGCGGUUAUCCGGAUUUACUGGGUGUAAAGGGAGCGUAGACGGCACGGCAAGUCUGAUGUGAAAGCCCGGGCUCAACUUCGGGACUGCAUUGGAAACUGUUGAGCUGGAGUGCAGGAGAGGUAAGCGGAAUUCCUAGUGUAGCGGUGAAAUGCGUAGAUAUUAGGAGGAACACCAGUGGCGAAGGCGGCUUACUGGACUGUAACUGACGUUGAGGCUCGAAAGCGUGGGGAGCAAACAGGAUUAGAUACC
rnacentral:rRNA from 1 species